UACGGAGGGGGCUAGCGUUGCUCGGAAUUACUGGGCGUAAAGCGCGCGUAGGCGGCUUUGUAAGUUAGAGGUGAAAGCCCGGAGCUCAACUCCGGAAUUGCCUUUAAGACUGCAUCGCUAGAAUCAUGGAGAGGUGAGUGGAAUUCCGAGUGUAGAGGUGAAAUUCGUAGAUAUUCGGAAGAACACCAGUGGCGAAGGCGACUCACUGGUCCGGUACUGACGCUGAGGUGCGAAAGCGUGGGGAGCAAACAGG
rnacentral:rRNA from 1 species